rnacentral:rRNA from 1 species
UAUUUCAGUAAAAGCUUUAGCUUUGAUCUCAUCUGAUCUCACAAGCUGAGCAACUUUGGACCCGAUUAGUACCCAGAAGGAAGAUCUCCAAGGAAACUUCUGUUGCUAUAGGAG